UCCUGCUGGUCUCCGGCUUCGGCCCGUAGGGCGACGCUGCCACCCGCCCUAGACCACGGAGUUGGCCCCGCCACGGGCCGUUAACGGAGCUCCGUCGGGGGCCGGGAGGCACUGACCGGGUGACCGGAGACCAAAGACCAGAGAUCCCACGGGGCCCGAGACUUCCAGGCGGCUCCUCCCCUAGCAACUGGGGCUUAAACGGGAGGAGACAAAGGGAACUUGGUCCCCACGCAGCCAUGGAGGGAGGGGCUGUAGGGAGGCGCCGUAACCAGCAGAGUUUGCGUCCCCGACGGGGCUAGCUCUGAUUUCUAGGAGCGUGGUAAGCAUCGAGUGUCUUUUAUCCUUUUAGAGUACAUCAGAUUCCUCUUUCUCCCCCGACUUUCCACAGAAAAUGAGAAAUGGCCAGCCCCUGACCAUUGGCCGAAGCUGUGCAGCAACGAAUAUUUCCUCCUCAUUAAUGGGAGCACUCAGAGUGACCUCAGUUUGAGAGAUCCAGGUCAGUUCCCUGAAGAUUUCUGUGUGCUGGAUGAAAAUAUGAUUUUGUCUCUGCUGGUUCUGUGUCCCUGUAAUGGCAUUGUUGGGGCUCAGGACCUUCCAGCUCGACUCCCAGAGGAUCUUGCCCAGCAGUGCCCAAGCCGAAGAUGUAAUUUCAGUGCCGUGAGGAAGAUGCCUACCUACCUGCAAGGCAGGAGGCCUGAGGUGCAAGCUUACUGUAGGCUGUUGGUUUUUAACCUCUCAAUUUGCACAUUGGGGCCACUCACAAGAGCACGCACCCUGCAAGAAACAGUUCGUCCAUCUCUACUUGCUUGUCUUCAGGGGGAAUGUAUAUUAAUUGCCUGAGUUAAUAUAUUGUGUUACAUACUGGGGGAGCGAAAAUCACAUGUAUGGCUUUUUCGGGAAUAAACCACUUUGAUGCCUA